rnacentral:rRNA from 1 species
CAGUCGAGCGGGGGAGAUUGCUUCGGUAAUUGACCUAGCGGCGGACGGGUGAGUAAUACUUAGGAAUCUGCCUAUUAAUGGGGGACAACAUCUCGAAAGGGAUGCUAAUACCGCAUACGCCCUACGGGGGAAAGCAGGGGAUCACUUGUGACCUUGCGUUAAUAGAUGAGCCUAAGUCGGAUUAGCUAGUUGGUGGGGUAAAGGCCUACCAAGGCGACGAUCUGUAGCGGGUCUGAGAGGAUGAUCCGCCACACUGGGACUGAGACACGGCCCAGACUCCUACGGGAGGCAGCAGUGGGGAAUAUUGGACAAUGGGGGGAACCCUGAUCCAGCCAUGCCGCGUGUGUGAAGAAGGCCUUAUGGUUGUAAAGCACUUUAAGCGAGGAGGAGGCUCUCUUGGUUAAUACCCAAGAUGAGUGGACGUUACUCGCAGAAUAAGCACCGGCUAACUCUGUGCCAGCAGCCGCGGUAAUACAGAGGGUGCGAGCGUUAAUCGGAUUUACUGGGCGUAAAGCGUGCGUAGGCGGCUUUUUAAGUCGGAUGUGAAAUCCCCGAGCUUAACUUGGGAAUUGCAUUCGAUACUGGGAAGCUAGAGUAUGGGAGAGGAUGGUAGAAUUCCAGGUGUAGCGGUGAAAUGCGUAGAGAUCUGGAGGAAUACCGAUGGCGAAGGCAGCCAUCUGGCCUAAUACUGACGCUGAGGUACGAAAGCAUGGGAGCAAACAGGAUUAGAUACCCUGGUAGUCCAUGCCGUAACGAUGUCUACUAGCCGUUGGGGCCUUU